GAGAGGAGCUUGCUCUUCUUGGAUGAGUUGCGAACGGGUGAGUAACGCGUAGGUAACCUGCCUUGUAGCGGGGGAUAACUAUUGGAAACGAUAGCUAAUACCGCAUAACAAUGGAUGACACAUGUCAUUUAUUUGAAAGGGGCAAUUGCUCCACUACAAGAUGGACCUGCGUUGUAUUAGCUAGUAGGUGAGGUAAUGGCUCACCUAGGCGACGAUACAUAGCCGACCUGAGAGGGUGAUCGGCCACACUGGGACUGAGACACGGCCCAGACUCCUACGGGAGGCAGCAGUAGGGAAUCUUCGGCAAUGGGGGCAACCCUGACCGAGCAACGCCGCGUGAGUGAAGAAGGUUUUCGGAUCGUAAAGCUCUGUUGUAAGUCAAGAACGGGUGUGAGAGUGGAAAGUUCACACUGUGACGGUAGCUUACCAGAAAGGGACGGCUAACUACGUGCCAGCAGCCGCGGUAAUACGUAGGUCCCGAGCGUUGUCCGGAUUUAUUGGGCGUAAAGCGAGCGCAGGCGGUUUGAUAAGUCUGAAGUUAAAGGCUGUGGCUCAACCAUAGUUCGCUUUGGAAACUGUCAAACUUGAGUGCAGAAGGGGAGAGUGGAAUUCCAUGUGUAGCGGUGAAAUGCGUAGAUAUAUGGAGGAACACCGGUGGCGAAAGCGGCUCUCUGGUCUGUAACUGACGCUGAGGCUCGAAAGCGUGGGGAGCGAACAGGAUUAGAUACCCUGGUAGUCCACGCCGUAAACGAUGAGUGCUAGGUGUUGGAUCCUUUCCGGGAUUCAGUGCCGCAGCU
rnacentral:rRNA from 1 species